CCAAGCUUCCCUGCUUCCAAGUGUUGUGUGGGCAGUGAAUGAGGCUUUACUUUUCCAUGCACUAACAUGUCCUUAAAAUUUCUAUUGCGGUGAUACACGACAUUUGGUACUCCGGUAAACGCUUUUCAAGGCGCUCGU
rnacentral:lncRNA from 1 species